rnacentral:rRNA from 1 species
CACGAGUCUGACGGAGCACGCCGCGUGAGUGAUGAAGGUUUUCGGAUCGUAAAGCUCUGUUGUUAGGGAAGAACAAGUGCCGUUCAAAUAGGGCGGCACCUUGACGGUACCUAACCAGAAAGCCACGGCUAACUACGUGCCAGCAGCCGCGGUAAUACGUAGGUGGCAAGCGUUGUCCGGAAUUAUUGGGCGUAAAGGGCUCGCAGGCGGUUUCUUAAGUCUGAUGUGAAAGCCCCCGGCUCAACCGGGGAGGGUCAUUGGAAACUGGGGAACUUGAGUGCAGAAGAGGAGAGUGGAAUUCCACGUGUAGCGGUGAAAUGCGUAGAGAUGUGGAGGAACACCAGUGGCGAAGGCGACUCUCUGGUCUGUAACUGACGCUGAGGAGCGAAAGCGUGGGGAGCGAACAGGAUUAGAUACCCUGGUAGUCCACGCCGUAAACGAUGAGUGCUAAGUGUUAGGGGGUUUCCGCCCCUUAGUGCUGCAGCUAACGCAUUAAGCACUCCGCCUGGGGAGUACGGUCGCAAGACUGAAACUCAAAGGAAUUGACGGA